AGAGUUGAUCCUGGCUCAGAACGAACGCUGGCGGCAGGCUUAACACAUGCAAGUCGAGCGAGGACUUCGGUCCUAGCGGCGGACGGGUGAGUAACGCGUGGGAACGUGCCCAUCACUACGGAAUAGUCCCGGGAAACUGGGCUUAAUACCGUAUACGCCCUUCGGGGGAAAGAAUUUCGGUGAUGGAUCGGCCCGCGUCUGAUUAGGUAGUUGGUGGGGUAACGGCCUACCAAGCCGACGAUCAGUAGCUGGUUUGAGAGGAUGAUCAGCCACACUGGGACUGAGACACGGCCCAGACUCCUACGGGAGGCAGCAGUGGGGAAUCUUAGACAAUGGGCGAAAGCCUGAUCUAGCCAUGCCGCGUGAGUGACGAAGGCCCUAGGGUCGUAAAGCUCUUUCACCAGGGAGGAUAAUGACGGUACCUGGAGAAGAAACCCCGGUUAACUCCGUGCCAGCAGCCGCGGUAAUACGGAGGGGGUAAGGCGUUGUACGGAAUUACUGGGCGU
rnacentral:rRNA from 1 species